rnacentral:lncRNA from 1 species
GUCUAUAUUUAUAGCCGUUAGGCCCAAUAAUUAGCAUUAACUGCAUGUAACCAUUGUAUCUUCUGUUUCCUUUUUCGUAAUAUUCGCCCAUUAAGGCUAUUAAUUUCUUUUCAACACUCUUUUCCUCGGUCCUUCACCACUCAGCCAUGUCUCCAUUUCUUCGGCUCACGGCCAACUGGUCCCUCACUACCCUUCGAUGUAAACCCGACCGAUCGGCCUCUUCCUCAUACUACAUAAGCCCCCCAAGCCCCGAGCGGUAUCGCAAGCGAAGGGGUUUUAUGAGCCCAAAGGUUGGACCAUCGCGACUGUUCACCCUCGAAUUUGCCCCCUCGCACCGUUUGAAGCUGAAAGGUUGCAAUUUGUCAGACGUGCGAUUGACUUUUCUCGGAGGAUCCAGAUUAGAUUACACGUCCAUCAACGCUGAAUUUGAAGAGACAUUUUCCCCUCUCCGUUGGAUCUUGCGCUAAUGAACGACUACGAUGAAUCCUUGAAACCGUUUUUGUCGGCUAUAAAUAGGUGGAUAGGACCCUCUUCAUUUACGUCCUUUUCACUCUCAGAUUUCUCUUACCAAUCUUCUCCC